rnacentral:snoRNA from 1 species
GCCCUCCCGAAAGCGCUCGCCUGGCCUGCGCGCAGUGGCGCGGCGAGCUGUCGAGGGAGGGGAGAUGAAGAGCACCGCUGAUGGGUGAGGUGGCAGCAACGUGCUGUUCGUCCUCAAUCCACGGCGCGACACUU